rnacentral:rRNA from 1 species
UACAGAGGGGGCGAGCGUUGUUCGGAAUUACUGGGCGUAAAGGGCGCGUAGGCGGCCCGCUAAGUCGAACGUGAAAUCCCCAGGCUCAACCUGGGAACUGCGUCCGAUACUGGCAGGCUUGAAUCCGGGAGAGGGAUGUGGAAUUCCAGGUGUAGCGGUGAAAUGCGUAGAUAUCUGGAAGAACACCGGUGGCGAAGGCGGCUCGCUGGGCCAGUUCUGACACUCAUCCGCGAAAGCGUGGGGAGCAAACAGG